rnacentral:rRNA from 1 species
UACGGAGGAUGCGAGCGUUAUCCGGAUUUAUUGGGUUUAAAGGGUGCGUAGGCGGUCCGUUAAGUCAGCGGUAAAAUUGCGGGGCUCAACCCCGUCGAGCCGUUGAAACUGGCAGACUUGAGUUGGCGAGAAGUACGCGGAAUGCGCGGUGUAGCGGUGAAAUGCAUAGAUAUCGCGCAGAACUCCGAUGCGAAGGCAGCGUACCGGCGCCAGACUGACGCUGAGGCACGAAAGCGUGGGGAUCGAACAGG